GCCUUUCAUAAAUUGGUGACAGUGAUUUUUGUCAAAGACAAAUAUGGGUUCUAAACGGGACGCUUUAACUUACCAAAUUUCCUCACUACCCUUUAGCAAUCUGCCUAAAAUCGGCGACUUUUGCUUCACUCUCAACCCCAAGGAGAGACAUAGAAUAACAGCAUUCAAUCAAACUACAGCUACUGUAAAAGAGCCAAGGAUCUCUCAAUACGAGUAUCUCGACCAAGAAAAAACCAGUCAUCUACUGAACUUGAAGACUUCCAAAGAAAUUUACGACUUUAUCGCUUCUACAUUAAGUAACCACUCCAAGGGGCGACCAAAGGAUCUCUUCAUUCAGCUAAUAAGUGAUGUUACAAAGUUUUGCCAAAGCCGCGCCUUUGAUGUCGAAAAAACCGCUACUGUUUUAUCACAGUUUUACCAAACUCAUUUGUACUUUACCAGCGGACUACAAGUUAGCGCCGAAAAAAUCUACAUCUAUUUCAAGGAGCUCAUGAUGUGCCACAGUUUGCCGACUGUCCCACAAUAAUGUCAGUUUCGAAUUUUGUACAUAAGUACUUUUUAAUCCAUGAGCGAAUUUGGGUUUUGUUUCCUCCAGCUCAAAAAAAGGUUUUUAGCGUUAAAGAAGCCAAGGAUAUUUUGGAAUUUUUCUGCAAAAUAUACUUGAGAAACUUGCCUCUCGUUAAGUACCUGUGCAUGCCAAACUUUGCUCUUUAUUUAAACUAUGAAAUUCCCCCGCGUCCUGUGUUACAUUCAACGGACAAGAAGAAAGGCAAAAAGGGAACAGACAGGAGCGAUAAAAAGAAAGCGAAAAAAUCAGCCAAAUAAAUGAGACAUAUUUAUUUUAUGAUUUAUGAUCAAGACUAUGAAUAAAUCCUUCAAUGCUU